rnacentral:sRNA from 1 species
UGUAAUCAGAUAGUUGUUUGCGUUACGA